GGACAGUUGUAAAAUCUGGCAGAGGAUGAAUGAACAUUUGGUGUCAUGAAAGAUUCCAACCUAGCACUCGGUAUUCCUGUGAUCUUUUCAGCCUAUGGUAUUUUCUACAAAACAGUGUGUUCUGGGGUUGUCAUUCAUCUUCCUGAUCAUUGACAGGCCUGAGAGUUUUCCAUACGGCCUGCACCCUAACCUCUGGGAAGAAAAUAUCCACAAUGAAAUUUCUACAAGAUUAGAGGAAGGAGAGAGGCAACGGGGAUUCCAUUUCUACUAGGAGUAUCAACCUCUGAGAGGGAUAUAUCCAUCUCUGUGGAUGUCAUCUGCUCUGCAGAAAACCCUUUCUUGGAACUACCAGGAAACAUGAAUCUGAUGUGGACCCUCCUCCUUUUCCUCCUUUUGGACGUAACUGUCUUCAUUCCAGCCCUGCCCUUCUCAACACGACAUUUAGACAACCCCAGGUCGUGGGUCCCUAGAGGACACCACCGAUACUGUGAUGUGAUGAUGAGGUGCCGUUGGCUGAUCUAUAGGGGUAAAUGCGAGCAGAUCCACACAUUCAUUCAUAGAAUCUGACCACCAUAGCAGAUUUCUGCAGAACUCCACCACUGCCCUGUACCAACAGCCCCUCCAUGUGCAGCUGCCACAACAGUACUCAUGAUGUCAAUGUCACUGACUGCUUUGCCAGCACAGGGACCCGACCUCUUCACUGCCACUACCAAAAAUAAGAAGGAGUCCACCAGGCCCAUGCGAGUGGGCUGCAAGAAGGGGGCAUCUGUUCACCUGGAUGGCUAGGUUCCUCCUGACAACGGCACCUGAAUGACUUGCACCCUACGCCUUCAAAUCUGUGCAGCACUGUCAAGGUCUUCUUUGUAAAUGCUUCGUCCUUUGCACGCAGGCUCCUGCGUCUUUCUUACAGCCUGUUCCCCACCAACCCCAUGUGCCCUACCCCUGCCACAGUGUCAGGGCUUUUGGUGGAGGAUAAGGCUGCAGUGGAGGGUUGGUGGGAGGGAGCCUGAAUUACGGAAAUAAUACUCGGGAAAAGACUUGCUCCAACCAAGCUGCUAGACAAUCCCCUUCUCCUGGGGCUGAUCUUCCCACCAGCUGCUCUCAUAAAACCUCCUGAUGGCUGGCCCUAGGUUUCCUGGAUCAUAGGGUCCUUCUGCCUUCUGCGGGACAUUCUAUGCCUUUCUCCUCAAUGGGCUCCUUCGGAGGGUAUUAGGGACGAUACCCUGGCGGGAAACCGCUUCCUUUAGGGAAACAAAUCACUGUGGCUCCAGGGGUGUCACCGGAAAAAGCCGUUUCCGGAGAAGCCGGAGGAGCUUGGGCAACUCCGCAGGCCCAGAGCCUUCGUGGUCUCCCAGUUCCCGUGGCCGUCGUAUUGGUCGGCAGGGGGCGCCGCGCCACAAGCUUCCUGCACAAGAGUCCAAAACUUCUUUCUUGGUUUCCUUUGAGACAGGCUGCAGGUUUCUUGGUUGCUGACACGGGUAGACGAUAAUAGGUGAAUAAACAAAAUCCAGCCAGCAUAAAUACAGUCUAACUGUUGAAGAACAGAUUUCUGAGUCUACCAUAACUUUCAUACACUGCAGCACUUUAACGUUGAACCUGCCACCUUCAGAUUCACACUGCAGCACCUCAGGUAAGAAGGAAAGGAAGUGAAUAUGCACUGAGGACCUACUUGUGUUAUGAGCUUUACAGUUCAGCUGCGCUGGAGAAGAGUUUAUUUCUUUCAUGGAAUCCAUUACAUCACCGAUCCCCUUCUGAAGGAGGUUAUUUUAUCCACGAGAGGAAGCAUCCAAAGGUGUUCAUAUUCUCUACCCUGUGACUCCAGCAGAAUGGUGACAAGGUUUUGAAGCAAAGGAGGGCACUUGACUCUAGGGCAGCCGUCCAUUAACUGACUAGCCCGGUGCCUGUGGAACAGAGUUGCGUGAGGAUUUUACCCUUUUGGAAUAAUCCAGUGACAAAACUGGAUACUAUUACUUUCAUUCCUUCCCCCGAUGCCAGGAGGUAUAGCUGUUUUGCCUUUGUUCUUGACAUUCAGCACUUAGCCUAAUGCUCGCUAUAAAAGUGCCUUCAAGAAAUCUUUAAGGGGCCAUUUUGGUAGGUCUGGUUGUUGCUGUGGAUCUUUUGUAGAUGCCCAUUUUUAGAUUAGAAAAGUUUCUUCCCUUCUGCUCCUGUUUAUGUCUCUUGAAUGGAUUGGGAAUUUCGUUGAAUGAUGGGAUUAUACAGCAUAUUUCUUUAAUCAGUUAAUGGGGUGAAUUAGAUUAGUUGAUUUUAGAAUACUAAACCAACCUUGUAUUCCUGGGAUAAACCCAUUUUGG
rnacentral:lncRNA from 1 species